rnacentral:lncRNA from 1 species
CGGUAAGUGAGGGGGGACCCAAGCCUACAAAGAGCUUUGAUAAGCACUUGCUGCCCCGGCGUAAGGAGGGGGAGGACAUAGAUACCUUCCUGACGGCCUUUGAGAAUGCCUGCGAGCUGCACAGGGUUGACCCUGCAGACAGGAUCGCAGUUCUCACCCCCUUACUGGACUCCACAGCCGUGGAGGUGUACAGCCGACUGAAAGGGGCGGAGGCAGGGGACUACGAACUGUUCAAACAGGCCCUGCUCCGCGAGUUUGGGCUGACUCCUGAGAUGUACCGGAAAAAGUUCCGGAGCCAGCGUAAAACCCGUGAGGUCACAUACCUACAACUGGUCAACCGGGCGCAGGGGUAUGCCCGCAAGUGGACAGCUGGGGCCCAAACUAAAGAGGACCUGCUUGACCUAUUCAUACUGGAGCACCUGUACGAGCAGUGCCCGUCCGACCUGAGGCUGUGGUUGAUGGACCAGAAGCCGGAGAACCCACAGCACGCAGGCCAGCUGGCCGACCAAUUUGUGGACAGUCGGGCAGGGGAUGGCAGGGAGGAGUCUCGAAGGAGCAGGCCUGCCUCAACGCAGAGAGAGAGUCAUCAUGGGACCUCCCAAAGGGGGCCUAUGGAGAACCCCCCCAAAAGGGGAACAUCCAGCGUCAGGUCCCUCCGACCCACUCAAGGGGACCCACGAGACAUGGGCUGCUAUCGCUGUGGCCAACGAGGUCACAUACGGGCCCAGUGCCCCAAGCUCAGGGACAGACCAAGCAGACCCAACCCGCAGAGGGUGGACUGGGUAAAAACCCAAUCGGAGGAGGGGCUACAUUCCCAGGAAAGGGGGGCUGGCAACAUACCACCUGUGGAUGCUCCAGGCUCCGGGUUUUUGGUUUACUGGAUGGGCGCGGGGCUGCCUCUCCGGAAAAAGUGCAUUGUUUCCCUGGAGGUAGAUGGGAGAAAGGUCACUGGGUACUGGGACACGGGCGCAGAGGUGACGCUGGCCCGGCCCGAGGUGGUGGCCUCAGAUCGGAUGGUGCCCGACACCUACCUGACCCUGAUGGGCGUGG